rnacentral:misc_RNA from 1 species
GAGAAGAACGUAGCGAAAUGCGAUACGUAGUGUGAAUUGCAGAAUUCAGUGAAUCAUCGAAUCUUUGAACGCACAUUGCGCCCUUUGGUAUUCCAAAGGGCAUGCCUGUUCGAGCGUCAUUUGUACCCUCAAGCUUUGCUUGGUGUUGGGCGUCUUUUGUCUCCAGUUCGCUGGAGACUCGCCUUAAAGUCAUUGGCAGCCGGCCUACUGGUUUCGGAGCGCAGCACAAGUCGCGCUCUUAGCCAGCCAAGGUCAGCGUCCAGCAAGCCUUUUUUCAACCUUUGACCUCGGAUCAGGUAGGGAUACCCGCUGAACUUAAGCAUAUCAAUAAGCGGAGGA